CCUACGGGUGGCAGCAGUGAGGAAUAUUGGUCAAUGGACGGAAGUCUGAACCAGCCAUGCCGCGUGCAGGAAGACGGCUCUAUGAGUUGUAAACUGCUUUUGUACAAGGGUAAACCUGGAUACGUGUAUUCAUCUGCAUGUACUUUACGAAUAAGGAUCGGCUAACUCCGUGCCAGCAGCCGCGGUAAUACGGAGGAUCCGAGCGUUAUCCGGAUUUAUUGGGUUUAAAGGGUGCGUAGGCGGGUUGAUAAGUUAGUGGUGAAAUGUCCGGGCUUAACUCGGGAACUGCCUCUAAUACUGGUGAUCUAGAGAGUAGAUGCGGUAGGCGGAAUGUAUGGUGUAGCGGUGAAAUGCUUAGAGAUCAUACAGAACACCGAUUGCGAAGGCAGCUUACCAAGCUGUAUCUGACGUUGAGGCACGAAAGCGUGGGGAGCAAACAGGAUUAGAUACCCGGGUAGUC
rnacentral:rRNA from 1 species